AAGCAAAAUCUAUUUCAAAUAAAUGAGUUUUAAGAUUAGUUUUAAACUGGAGAUAAAUUAGAAAUAUCUCUAAGUGAAUAAGUGAACACGGUAAAGAGUUCCAAAGUUGAGGAGCAGCGACACAGAAAGAACGUAGACCAAAUAAUUUGACAUUGGAAGACUUGGAAGACAGAAGCAAAUGAGACGAUGAACGAAGUUUUCUUGAAGAAGCGCCUAUUUUCAGUGUAUGUGCUAAACUUGCAAACACUUAAAAAACAAGGUUCAAGGAUCAAAGUGUUGGCUGGUAGCCAGACAUAGUAAAGAGGUGUAUUCAUAGGCAUCAGUGAGGCAAAACUCAAUAGCGACCGGGUUAUAAUGUCCUUGGUUAUCGACCAAAUGUUACUCACAUCCCUCCCGGUAGUCUCUUAUAGCACGUGGGUGGGGUUAAGUCCUUAAAGUGCAUAUAACCCCUAAGAAUAAACCAUUUUAGAAAAUAAAAAUAAAAAGGAAUUAUUGAAGA